rnacentral:rRNA from 1 species
AGAUUGAACGCUAGCGGCAUGCCUAACACAUGCAAGUCGAACGGUAACAGGCCCUUCGGGGUGCUGACGAGUGGCGGACGGGUGAGUAAUGCGUAGGAAUCUACCCACGAGUGGGGGAUAGUCCGGAGAAAUCCGGAUUAAUACCGCAUAUGCCCUACGGGGUAAAGCGGGGGAUCGUAAGGCCUCGCGCAGCAGGAUGAGCCGAUGUCCGAUUAGCUAGUUGGUGGGGUAACGGCCUACCAAGGCGACGACGGGUAGCUGGUCUGAGAGGACGAUCAGCCACACUGGGACUGAGACACGGCCCCAGACCUCCGUACGGGAGGCAGC